GGGGGAAUGAAAUAUAUUUACCGUAAUUUAACUGUAGUUUAAUUUCCUUUGGUACACAGUAAGCCAAUGAUCUCUGGAGAAUGUGCUGCUGUUUAAGAGGCUUACGAACAGAGGAAAGCAUUAAAUAAUCACACAACUUCCAGAUAUUUAUGGCUACAGUGAGAUCACCUGAUGUUCAGGAUGGUUUUUGUUGUUUUUCAAUCAGCUAUUGAAUUAAUCCGGAGCAUGCAUGCACAUCCAGGCUGCUAGGCUGCGGCAGUCCCAGGGGACAUGGUGUUUUGGCAGGACCAGGCUUGUGGCAGAUGGAAAUGCCCAUGGGCCAGUCUUAGCUCUGGAGCAGGGAAAAUGGCAUUGGCAAUACUCAGCCUUGUUGUGGCACUGCCUCUGUGAUGUCAUGUUUCAUUGUAAUGCCAUAGGGUACCUCCGUGCUUACCUUAUCAGAGCAUGCUGUGAGUGGGCGUGGGAGCAGACAGGCAGGACUUCGUGUGGUUUGAAAUGGAGAAAUGUACUCCGUUAGGCAAAUGACAAGACUCUGAUCUUUUUGGUGCCUGGAUCUUCAGUCUUACUUACUCCAAUCACAUAAGCAGGCAUUGCAGUGCUAUAUACUUGCGAAUUUGAGUAGGAUUCUGUUAUUUUCAUGUUAAUAAAGGCUUAUAUUUAAGUGAGAACA
rnacentral:lncRNA from 1 species